AGCAGUAGCCACGGGAAUACGUAGGUGGCAAGCGUUGCCCGGAAUUAUUGGGCGUAAAGGGCUCGCAGGCGGUUUCUUAAGUCUGAUGUGAAAGCCCCCGGCUCAACCGGGGAGGGUCAUUGGAAACUGGGAAACUUGAGUGCAGAAGAGGAGAGUGGAAUUCCACGUGUAGCGGUGAAAUGCGUAGAGAUGUGGAGGAACACCAGUGGCGAAGGCGACUCUCUGGUCUGUAACUGACGCUGAGGAGCGAAAGCGUGGGGAGCGAACAGGAUUAGAUACCCCUGUAGUCCCUGUCUCUUAUAC
rnacentral:rRNA from 1 species